UGCAAGUGCGGGUGCUAUACAUGCGUCGAGCGGACAGAAGGGAGCUUGCUCCCGGAUGUUAGCGGCGGACGGGUGAGUAACACGUGGGUAACCUGCCUGUAAGACUGGGAUAACUCCGGGAAACCGGAGCUAAUACCGGAUAGUUCCUUGAACCGCAUGGUUCAAGGAUGAAAGACGGUUUCGGCUGUCACUUACAGAUGGACCCGCGGCGCAUUAGCUAGUUGGUGAGGUAACGGCUCACCAAGGCGACGAGCGUAGCCGACCUGAGAGGGUGAUCGGCCACACUGGGACUGAGACACGGCCCAGACUCCUACGGGAGGCAGCAGUAGGGAAUCUUCCGCAAUGGACGAAAGUCUGACGGAGCAACGCCGCGUGAGUGAUGAAGGUUUUCGGAUCGUAAAGCUCUGUUGUUAGGGAAGAACAAGUGCAAGAGUAACUGCUUGCACCUUGACGGUACCUAACCAGAAAGCCACGGCUAACUACGUGCCAGCAGCCGCGGUAAUACGUAGGUGGCAAGCGUUGUCCGGAAUUAUUGGGCGUAAAGGGCUCGCAGGCGGUUUCUUAAGUCUGAUGUGAAAGCCCCCGGCUCAACCGGGGAGGGUCAUUGGAAACUGGGAAACUUGAGUGCAGAAGAGGAGAGUGGAAUUCCACGUGUAGCGGUGAAAUGCGUAGAGAUGUGGAGGAACACCAGUGGCGAAGGCGACUCUCUGGUCUGUAACUGACGCUGAGGAGCGAAAGCGUGGGGAGCGAACAGGAUUAGAUACCCUGGUAGUCCACGCCGUAAACGAUGAGUGCUAAGUGUUAGGGGGUUUCCGCCCCUUAGUGCUGCAGCUAACGCAUUAAGCACUCCGCCUGGGGAGUACGGUCGCAAGACUGAAACUCAAAGGAAUUGACGGGGGCCCGCACAAGCGGUGGAGCAUGUGGUUUAAUUCGAA
rnacentral:rRNA from 1 species